rnacentral:rRNA from 1 species
AUUGAACGCUGGCGGCAGGCCUAACACAUGCAAGUCGAGCGGAUGACGGGAGCUUGCUCCUUGAUUCAGCGGCGGACGGGUGAGUAAUGCCUAGGAAUCUGCCUGGUAGUGGGGGACAACGUUUCGAAAGGAACGCUAAUACCGCAUACGUCCUACGGGAGAAAGCAGGGGAACUUCGGGCCUUGCGCUAUCAGAUGAGCCUAGGUCGGAUUAGCUAGUAGGUGAGGUAAUGGCUCACCUAGGCGACGAUCCGUAACUGGUCUGAGAGGAUGAUCAGUCACACUGGAACUGAGACACGGUCCAGACUCCUACGGGAGGCAGCAGUGGGGAAUAUUGGACAAUGGGCGAAAGCCUGAUCCAGCCAUGCCGCGUGUGUGAAGAAGGUCUUCGGAUUGUAAAGCACUUUAAGUUGGGAGGAAGGGCAGUAAGUUAAUACCUUGCUGUUUUGACGUUACCGACAGAAUAAGCACCGGCUAACUCUGUGCCAGCCGCCGCGGUAAGAC